rnacentral:rRNA from 1 species
UACGAAGGGGGCUAGCGUUGUUCGGAAUUACUGGGCGUAAAGCGCGCGUAGGCGGUGAUCUUUGUCAGAGGUGAAAGCCUGGGGCUCAACCCCAGAAUUGCCUUUGAAACGGGAUCGCUAGAGUCCGAGAGAGGAUGGCGGAAUUCCUAGUGUAGAGGUGAAAUUCGUAGAUAUUAGGAAGAACACCGGUGGCGAAGGCGGCCAUCUGGCUCGGUACUGACGCUCAGGCGCGAAAGCGUGGGGAGCAAACAGGAUUAGAUACCCUGGUAGUCCACGCUGUAAACGAUGAGUGCUAGUUGUUGGGAAGUUUACUUCUCAGUGACGCAGCUAACGCGUUAAGCACUCCGCCUGGGGAGUACGGUCGCAAGAUUA